UUAUUAGUUGCUGGGGCACCUGUGCCAGCAACUAUAGGUUUCGGGUGAAAUUAGUCUCCUUCUCCAUGGAUAGUCACAAAAUGGAAAUUCCCACUGAUCUAUAUACGAAGCAAUACGUGCAUACAUUUUCGCUAUUUUAACGCUCUUAAAGUCUUCGUAAGUGUAUAAAGUGAACGUCAAAUUGUUCUUUUAAUCACGCUUUUUCUUCUGGGGGCUUUUUGAAAGAAAUCCAUCAAGAAUAUACAGAAUUAUGUCGACGUUUCACUAUCGAGGAGUGGAGUAGAUUCCGAGGUGGAUUAACUGACAAUAACUGUGUUAUUUAUUCGUCGAACCGUUAUUUCUGAACGUUUAUAUUUUUGUUUUGUGAAGUUUUACAUCUAUAUACGCUUUAAUAUGGCUUAUAGUCCAGGUUGCUCCAAUAGUCUGCAUAAAAAUCGUAUUUGUUUACAUUGGAACUGUCAUAUUUGGAUGCUAGCUCUAUUUUUCAAGAAGGCUCAAAUUAUGUUGGCUGUUUUGAAGUGAUACACGAGGUACGUGACACACAAUCUUGGAUUGGUAUUUCUUAGAUA